CUGAUGGUGGGUGGUGUUAAGGCCCUGGACUCCUCUCUGGCUGCUCCUCCUGGAGGAGAUGCUGUGUGCUGAGCUUCAAGGUCAUGUAGAAAAAGGAUCAAUCCUCUAGACCACGGGUUGAGAAUCAAAUUGCCUGUGUGCCCUGAAGUCUGAGAAUCAAAUGAAGAAGUUUACCACGUGGAGACUUCAAAUUUUACUUGAACUAAGUCUAAAAAAUGACCAGAGAACUUUUUACUGUGAUUUUUGCCAUAUGGAUCACAGAAGAUCCCUGAAUAGGCGCUACCUGGAGCCUUCCCACUGUUGAGCAGAAGAAUUACUUUGUUUCUUCACUCUAUGUUUUGGGUAUCCAUGCUUAAUGCAUCUGAGCGUGGCAUUAAAUAUUAUUUACAGCCAAAAAU
rnacentral:lncRNA from 1 species